rnacentral:rRNA from 1 species
GAUGAACGCUGGCGGCGUGCCUAAUACAUGCAAGUCGAGCGAAGCGGGGACGGGUGAGUAACACGUGGAUAACCUCCUAUAAGACUGGGAUAACUUCGGGAAACCGGCACUAAACCGGCAUCUUAUAGGUGGUUCCGGGCUGCAUUAGCUAGUUGGUAAGGUAACGGCUUACAAAGUCAACGAUGCAUAGCCGACCUGAGAGGGGGAUCGGCCACACUGGAACUGAGACACGGUCCAGACUCCUACGGGAGGCAGCAGUAGGGAAUCUUCGGCAAUGGGCGAAAGCCUGAUGGAGCAACGCCGCGUGAGUGAUGAAGGUCUUCGGAUCGUAAAACUCUGUUAUUAGGGAAGCGGUACCUAAUCAGAAAGCCACGGCUAACUACGUGCCAGCAGCCGCGGUAAUAC